rnacentral:lncRNA from 1 species
ACAUCUUACGUUCCAUCCACAAGAUACAGUCAUGGAUUUGGCAUCUCCAAGGAGCAGCAUCCAUCUUACAUGUUUAAUGACUAGGGACCGUUUGACGUCCAGAGAGGAUUUGAUUAUUUCCAAUUAGUAACCUUAGCAAUUGACUCUGGGACCAGUUUCUAGCUUCUCCAUACACGUAGGAGCCUAACCUGUGAGUGUGAACACGUACUGUCGGGACAUGAAGUCUUCUUCUGGCGAAAGAUGGAUUUGUUAGGUUUAUUAAUCAUAUAUUUAAAAACUAAUGCUAGAUUGAUGCUAUCUACCUUUCAGAUUUAGAGAACAAUCUGGUGAUCACCCAUCGAACCCGCUGUUUGGUAGAGGUACGCUUGUCUCGACCUACACCUCAUUUUCCAUGUAUUUGAAUUUAAUUUUAGAAAAUAUGGCAUUAUUAUGACUUUGGUUAUUAUUUCUGGACUUAAUGACUUGCAAGCUUGGACAAUAUUUUAUGAUCAUUACAAGGUUUGCUACUUAAUCUAAGCGUUGAGAUUUAUGACCCAGGACGUAAUUGAAGUAGAGCACAGCUAUUUGAGUUUUGGGCUGCACUGAUCUGAGCAUUGGCCCAUUGGGCCACUGGGAUUGGGGCUGAAUUUGUUCAAAGUUACUGACACCGUGGGCCUGGACCCCCUCUCCAUGGCUUGAGGGUAUUUAACAAAUAAAAAUGGGAGUUUGCUUUUAUGCAACGUGGCAUCUAAGGUCUAAAGCGUUUUUGGUGAGGUGGAUUGAGAGGUAGAGUUCAUUUGGUUGCUCCCCGGUUAACUAAUACAAGCAUCAAAUGGAGUUUGGCGAUCAAAUGCCAAAGUUGCCAACCCCUCAAGGUUACAACUUAAAACACCAAGAAGACUCCACCUCCCAGAAGAAUCCAAAGCCGGUGUAAAGAGCAAGAGAAAUUAGGUGGACAUGUGCAAUGUCGUGCAAAAGCUGAACUUGGAGAUCUUCUACCGAAUCAAUUGAAAUAUCUUGGCUAUAAUGACAUGAAACUGCUCUGAAAGCGACAACAGUUGCUCUGACCACUUCUUCUUAACAACUCAAGGCCUCACAUUACAUUCAAAGCACGUUUUAUUACAAUCACCUUGACCGUUUCUACACAAUUCAUGAAUUCACUCAUCUGGUCCCUCCAUUUAUGAUCUUUCGGCUUGUGGUUGAGGUGCACUUAGUACCGUCUCCGCCUAAGUUUUUUGUCAUGUAUGUCUUCAAUAUAUUUGUGAGAAAAAAUGGUUAUAUUUAAAAAGCCUUUGCCAGAUUGGAUUUAGAACAUAUCACUCCCUUUUGGCUAGGAAGAAAAGGCCAUUCUGAUCGAUAAUUCUCUUUGGACAUGUAUUCUCAUCCUGGAGCCUUCUAUCUCGAACUGUUUAUCCCUUUUGCUUAUGGCAACUUCUAACAGAGAAUGGACUAUAAUCUCUCUGAUUUAAAUUUGGAGGUAGACAA